CGCGGAAUGGCGGCUGCUAAUAAUGCAAGUCGAGCGGAAUUUUAUUGGUGCUUGCACCUUUAAAAUUUUAGCGGCGGACGGGUGAGUAACACGUGGGUAACCUACCUUAUAGAUUGGGAUAACUCCGGGAAACCGGGGCUAAUACCGAAUAAUACUUUUUAACACAUGUUUGAAAGUUGAAAGACGGUUUUGCUGGCCCUAUUAAAAGGACCCCCGGCGCAUUAACUAGUUGGGGAGGGAACGGCUCCCCCAGGGAACCAUGCCUAACCCAACUGAAAGGGUGAUCGGGCCCCCUGGGACUGAAACCCCGCCCAAAAUCCUACCGGAAGGAGCCACGUGAAGCUGAAUCUUCCCCAAUGGACCAGGAAGUCUGAUAGGAAUCAACCCCCCCUGGGUGAAAGAAAGAUGUUCACGCCGCUGCCUGAGAAACUCUGUCUAGCUCAGUGGAGAAAACAAGUAACGUAAUAACUGGCGCUUCCUUGACGGUACCUUGGUAAAAAGCCACCGCUAACUACCUGCCCACCGCCGCGCGUAAUUCCUAAGUGGCAAGGCUUGUCCGGAAUUAUUGGGCGUAAAGCGCGCGCCAGUGGUUCCUUUAAGUCUGAUGUGGAAGCCCCCGGCUCAACCCGGGGAAGGUCAUUGGAAACUGGGGAACUUGAGUGCAGAAGGAGGAUAGUGGAAUUCCAAGUGGUAGCGGUGAAAUGCGUAGAGAUUUGGAGGAACACCAGUGGCGAAGGCGACUGUCUGGUCUGUAACUGACACUGAAGGCGCGAAAGCGUGGGGAGCAAACAGGAUUAAGAUACCCUGGUAGUCCACGCCGUAAACGAUGAGUGGCUAAGUGUUGGGGGGUUUCCGCCCCUCAGUGCUGCAGCUAACGCAUUAAGCACUCCGCCUGGGGAGUACGGUCGCAAGACUGAAACUCAAAGGAAUUGACGGGGGCCCGCACAAAGCCGGUGGAGCAUGUGGUUUAAUUCGAAGCAACGCGAAGAACCUUACCAGGUCUUGACAUCCCGGUGACCACUAUGGAGACAUAGUUUCCCCUUCGGGGGCGAACGGUGGACAUGUGCUCGGUGUCAUGAGUUGUAUCAGUCAGCUCGUGUCUAGUGCAGACUUCGUUGGGUUAAGUCCCGCAACGAGCGCAACCCUUAUUCUUAGUUGCCAUCAUUCAGUUGGGCACUCUAAGGAGACUGCCGGUGAUAAACCGGAGGAAGGUGGGGAUGACGUCAAAUCAUCAUGCCCCUUAUGACCUGGGCUACACACGUGCUACAAUGGACGGUACAAACGGUUGCCAACCCGCGAGGGGGAGCUAAUCCGAUAAAACCGUUCUCAGUUCGGAUUGUAGGCUGCAACUCGCCUACAUGAAGCCGGAAUCGCUAGUAAUCGCGGAUCAGCAUGCCGCGGUGAAUACGUUCCCGGGCCUUGUACACACCGCCCGUCACACCACGAGAGUUUGUAACACCCGAAGUCGGUGAGGUAACCUUUUGGAGCCAGCCGCCGAAGGUGGAUAGAUUUUGUG
rnacentral:rRNA from 1 species